CAAUAGCGUAUAUUAAAGUUGUUGCAGUUAAAAAGCUCGUAGUUGAAUUUUUGCUUGCCGCCGAUGUCGGAACUUUCGUACGUUCGGCGGCGUGCAUCCUUGGGUGGAACCUGUGUGGCAUUAGGUUGUCGUGCAGGGGAUGCUCAUCGUUUACUGUGAAAAAAUUAGAGUGUUCAAAGCAGGCUUACGCCGUUGAAUAUAUUAGCAUGGAAUAAUAAGAUAGGACCUUGGUACUAUUUUGUUGGUUUGCGCACCGAGGUAAUGAUUAACAGGGACAGUUGGGGGUAUUCGUAUUCCAUUGUCAGAGGUGAAAUUCUUGGAUUUCUGGAAGACGAACUACUGCGAAAGCAUUUACCAAGGAUGUUUUCAUUA
rnacentral:rRNA from 1 species